rnacentral:tRNA from 1 species
AAAGAUUUAGUUAAAAUAACACAAUAAUAUUAAUUUGUCAGAUUAAAAUUAGAUUAUAAAUCUAGUCUUUA